UGUGUCGUUACCUAGUUUUCAGGGGUGACAGACGACUCGUCAGAAGAUAAAGGAAGGACAAAUACUCCCGCCUGAGAACAAGAGUGAUGUCCCUUGGAUACACCCUGCUUCCGGUAAUGACGUCUGCUUCGGCGCAAACUCUGAAAGAGAGCAUCCAGUUGUUUGUUGAUUUUAUGAGCAACAUACUUUCUAGAUUAAUUGAGAAUUGGAAAUAAGCAUAAACUGCAGAUCAAUUUAAGUGUUAUGGAUGUCGUGGCAAUGUGUUGGAAUGGCAAUGGAUACUGAUGCUCAGUUCUUACGAGCUGUGCGAGGAGGGAAUCUGGAGGAGGUACGAAAGUAUCUCGAUGCUGGUCAAAAUGUGGACACCACAAACAUUAAUGGCAUGAGUGGUCUUCAUCUUGCUGCCAAAGAAGGGCAUCUGUCUGUGGUCAUGGAGUUGCUGAACAGGGGAGCUAAUUGUGCUGCUCGAACUCGUAAAAACAACACACCUUUGCAUGUUGCUGCCUUAGCAAGACAGUCCCAAGUGACCCAGAUCCUACUGGAAAGAGGAGCUGACAUAAAUGCAGUCUCUGAGACUGGGUUCACACCUCUGUAUUUGGCAGCACAAGAAAAUGGGUCAGACAUAGCCUGUAUGUUACUACAGGCUGGAGCAGAUCAGCGUAUUCACACAGUGGAUGGCUUUUCUCCCUUGGCAGUAGCUGUUCAACAGGAAAAUGCAGAAGUAAUAAAUGUGUUGUUGCCCAACUGGCGAGCGUCAGCCCCAGAAUAUGCCUUCAGAUUGCUUGAAGAACUAGGACUAGAUUGCCCUGAUGUGUUCAGAUACACAGCUGAAGGCAAUUUUGUGGAACUGCGGAAAGCUAUCCGUAGUGGCAGUGAUGUAAAUCAGACGCUAAAAGAUGGUCUAAGCCCGCUGCAUCUGGCAGUUGUGUUGGGAGAUCUUCAGAUGGUGAAAGAGCUGAUAAGUCAUGGUGCCUUUCCCUCCACAAUAUCAGAGAAACUUUCUUCACCUUUAAUCACGGCUUGUCACUCCUGUCGACGUGAUAUCAUCCAGGCCUUGUUAAGUGCAGGUGCAAAUCCUAAUGAUAAGCCUCGGCCCUACAGUCCCCUCCUGCCACUUCAUAUUGCUUGCAACUAUGGAGAUACAGCAGCAGUUUUAAUGUUGCUACAACAUGGAGCAGAUGUCAAAGCUGCUGGGAAAUGGAUCAGCAUGAAUGCCCGCGUAGCUUUUGAUGACCACCAUGCUGAAGUUAUGUCUCUGCUGGUUCAGUGGGCCUUGCAACUAUGCCCUGAGCAACAGACACAUGUCAUGCAUGACACAGAGUCUGAGGCAGGCAACAUGCUUCUGGAGCCACCUACACCUUAUGAGCCUGAUCCAGAUCCUGCAGGAACAUGCUUGGCCAUGAUGCGUUCACUUUUCCGCUCACGACCUGAACAUGUAGAUGAACUGAUAGAAGCAGCACUCAGUACAAUUCACCAGUGCAACAUCUUCAAGGCAGCAGAUGAAGGCAAUGCGGUGCUGGCAACAGCCUGCCUAGAUGAAAAUCCUGCCUGCUUAGAAACCAAGACAAAGUGUGGUUUGACUCCUCUGCAUGUAGCCUGUGUGAGAGGGCAUGUAGCAGUUGUUUCCCUUUUUCUUGAAAGGAAGGCUAACCCUAAUGCUUCUACUGAUAAUGGAAUCACACCAACUAUCAUGGCUGCAUAUGCAAACUGUCCCUCUGUGUUGCAACUUCUUAUGAAGAAUGGUGCUGAUAUGACACUGAGCAUGCAGAAUGGCUUGACACCCCUGGGCAUGGCCAUAGCCAAGAAGAACUUAGAGGCAGCAGAAAACAUUUUGAAGCAGCAUCCACUAGCACCAUGCUGCAGCAUACUCAAUGUCUUGAGCACCCAGUCGGAAGAACAGCAGGUGUCACAGGUGCUGGGGAUGGUGGAGUGGGCUUGUCGGUCCAAUCCUCUCUCCUCUGCAAACAGACGCAAGAAGGGUCGACGGGCAUGUGUUUUGACAUAAAGCACUUUUUGUGCACCUUAGGAUUAAUUUGUAUCUCAUCAUUUGUAUCAGAAGAAAAAAUUGUAAGAGGGUAAAAAUUAUAAGAGGGUGAGCUCCAUCUUAAAGAUAAAAAUUUGGAGGAUGAUUCUAGAAAAGUCUGUUUGUAGGCCAAAGUAUAAUAGCUAGCUGGUUAUGUGAAAAAAGGUUGGGUGUGUGAAGAAUCAUAGCUUAAAGUAAGAAUGUUUUUCAGACUCUGUCUUACUGACUUGGAUACAAAGCUUGUAGUAUAUAAGCCACUACUGAAUGAAAAUAUUGUAGAUGUCAAGUGCUGGUGAGUCUCAUUUGCUAUUUAGAAAAACUUUAGAGGAUCUCAAUUUAAUAUUUAACAUGAAAUGUUUGUCAUUUGCCCAGUCUUGACCUAACCUAAAAGGCUUUGAAGAUAAAAACAAGCAAUCUAGCCCUAGUUUUAAAUGUUGUAAAUUUUGUCUGUGCAGCUUUGUGAUAAUGUCGUAAAAAGCUUUGGUGUCAAAGGUCUUCAGUGCUGACAUUUAGUGACCAGUACAGCGGGAUCAAUCAGGGGCCAGUGUCUGCUUACAUGUCAGUGUUUUUAUGUUAAGACACAAUUACACUGGUUUGUAUAUUUUGUUGCAGAUACUUUGUGUGGGUAGGAAAGUGGUUUUGCUGUUCACCAGUCCUGUGUUGCACAGUUCUGUUGUUUUCGUCAAUGUGCAUUACUGUGCAUCACUGUAAGAAUAGAGAGCACACUGUCAUCUUGAUUGUGUGGCUAUUGCAGUCUGGUGGCUUAACGGUUAGCAUCAAGAAACAAUAAAGGAGUAUGUUUCGAAAGUAAAGGGAAAUUUGCUUUAAUAUUAUGAUAUAAAUGUUUCUAUUGACAUUAUUUUUAUAAGAAUGUAACAACAGGACAUGAAUGACCAUCAAAAAAGUGACAUUUGUAACUAUUACCUUCUGUAGCUGACACAUUUGUAACAUCUGGUUGUAAUACCUUCAGAAAUCAGACUGAUGAACUCAGGUUUUCUGUCUUAAAGAUAUUCAUUUUUUGCUGCAAUUUUUUCAACAACCUAAGAUUUAGUGAUUUUAGGAAAGAAAUUUAGUGCCAGGGGUUUAUAUUACUACAGUAUAUCAGGUUAUUGCAACACCCAGUGGUUGUUAUUCUUGAAUACACAGUUAAGAUGCUGGGAAAUCUCUUGUAAUCUCUGGUAUUUUCUGGCAUUUAAUGAGAUUUUAUGAUGAUAUAAUAAUAAUAUAUAAUUCUUUCCUUGAGAGAUAUUUUUUGAAUUAUUUACCCACGUAGCUGAGAACCAAUUAGUCACCUGUAUGUAGUAGAUAAGCAGUCACUUGUGUCUGAUCUCAUUGUCAUUUUUCUCCUUCAAGAAAAAAUGUCUUUACAUACACUGACUUUGUAUUUUUACCUUAUGAUAUUACGCUAACUAGUCCAGCUACUGUUAUUGUUGUUCAUGCAUAGCAAUGGUCAUGUCAGAUAUUUUUGUGUUAAAUUUGCUUUUAGUGCAAUAGUGUCAGUUGACUUAAUGAGAAUAUGUUGCUGUAUAUUAAACAAAAGCAUUUUUAUGGCAGUAGAUUCCAGUCUUUUUCAGUUGAAGAAUGUCUUUGAUCACAGAUUAGAAAAACUGGCAGCCUUCAGGUGCAGCCUGCUAACCGGUGUUCUUAUUUACCAUAACAUCAGUAUGCUGAUUGGACAAAAAAGAUCAUCCUACACUGUAUUUUAUACAAGGCCUGUGCUGUUCUUUUUUUCAAACAUCAACAAUAACAAAAAAGAAGGUUAAGGACUUUCCCCACUAUGUUUUAAAAGUGAACAAAUGGCUACAGCAUUUAAAAAAAACCCCGUUUUUACAGGUUACUGUGGCAGCAGUGGUUGAAACUUGUUUUAAUCAGUCGGGAGAGGGAGGCUAUCCUUGCAAUAAAUCAGUUUCAUAGAAGAUCAUAGAUUGCCUUCCCUAGAAAGAAUUUUGUGUGUGUGGUUGCUGCACUUAUAAAGGUGAAAAUGACAAAUUUCACAUGUCUGUUAGCACAGUCAGUAAUAGUUUUUAUCUUCAGGCACCGUGAUAUGUACUUAAUAUUUAAAACACAAAGGAUUAAUUGAUUAUCUGUGCAUUUUAGAUGUAUACACUGGUUAAUUAAUCUGUUUCUGUGUUUUAUAAUAGUAUACCUGCUGGCAUGGAUUGUCUCUUGCAUUUUAGGCUUUAAAGUGUUCUUGGUCAAUCCGAACAGUCAAGUUUAAACACAAGUGCUUUGCAGCGCCUUUUCACCUUGGAUCACUGAUGGAACAUUUGUAUUUAUUAUGUAAAUUAUAUAUGUUAUAUUUAAUAUAUGGUUGUGGCUGACUGUAUUCCAAUUAUACAUUGUUACAGUUCUGUUGUGUUUAUUGUGUUGGGAGGGGCCAGCAAGCCACAUAACUGUGCACCUGUUUUAUUGCUCUCUUGUUAUGCCUGUUUACCUUGUGUGGCCCACAAAAGCCUAUAUUUUGACUGUACAAAUUUUUACUUUUAUUUGUACAGCAGCUGAUAUAGAUGUGCAAUAUUGUAUGCCAUGUGGACAAUCAAUGUGCUGAUGUUGUGGUUCUGUGAUACGUCACUUAAUUAUUUGCAUUCCACACUCCUUCAAGACACUAUUUGUGAUCACAUAUAUUGAAGUAUAUGAAACAGUUUCGAAGACAAGAGAGGUCUACAGAUUACUACCAGUAAUCAUCCUUCAAAUCUGUUAUUGUUGACCAAUCUUUACUUUUGAACAUUUAAAGCACACGAUUGAUUUUACCUAAAUUUAUACUUGGUUUGACCUUGUUAUUUAUAUUCAGUUGUUCUUUCUGAAGACAUUCCACAGAUUGAGAAACUGCUACGCAAUAUUUUGUGCACAGCUCGUCCUGCAGCAAAAUGUUUUUGAGACAGUCGUUGCGUUUGUGUCUAUUUCUCAGUUUUUGAUGUAUUCAUUUAAAGUGUUGACAGCAUGUUUAAACAAUUUUUUCAAUAUUUGAUUAUUAAAUUAAAAGACCCACAUGACAAAA
rnacentral:misc_RNA from 1 species